ACGCGCGGAACCUUACCAGGUCUUGACAUCCCAUUGACCGCUAUGGAGACAUAGCUUUCCCUUCGGGGACAGUGGUGACAGGUGGUGCAUGGUUGUCGUCAGCUCGUGUCGUGAGAUGUUGGGUUAAGUCCCGCAACGAGCGCAACCCUUGUUCUUAGUUGCCAUCAUUUAGUUGGGCACUCUAAGGAGACUGCCGGUGACAAACCGGAGGAAGGUGGGGAUGACGUCAAAUCAUCAUGCCCCUUAUGACCUGGGCUACACACGUGCUACAAUGGACGGUACAAACGGUUGCCAACCCGCGAGGGGGAGCUAAUCCGAUAAAACCGUUCUCAGUUCGGAUUGUAGGCUGCAACUCGCCUACAUGAAGCCGGAAUCGCUAGUAAUCGCGGAUCAGCAUGCCGCGGUGAAUACGUUCCCGGGCCUUGUACUCACCGCCCGU
rnacentral:rRNA from 1 species